rnacentral:rRNA from 1 species
GAUGAACGCUGGCGGCGUGCCUAAUACAUGCAAGUCGAGCGAACAGACGAGGAGCUUGCUCCUCUGACGUUAGCGGCGGACGGGUGAGUAACACGUGGAUAACCUACCUAUAAGACUGGGAUAACUUCGGGAAACCGGAGCUAAUACCAGAUAAUAUAUUGAACCGCAUGGUUCAAUAGUGAAAGACGGUUUUGCUGUCACUUAUAGAUGGAUCCGCGUCGCAUUAGCUAGUUGGUAAGGUAACGGCUUACCAAGGCGACGAUGCGUAGCCGACCUGAGAGGGUGAUCGGCCACACUGGAACUGAGACACGGUCCAGACUCCUACGGGAGGCAGCAGUAGGGAAUCUUCCGCAAUGGGCGAAAGCCUGACGGAGCAACGCCGCGUGAGUGAUGAAGGUCUUCGGAUCGUAAAACUCUGUUAUUAGGGAAGAACAAAUGUGUAAGUAACUAUGCACGUCUUGACGGUACCUAAUCAGAAAGCCACGGCUAACUACGUG